GAUUGCUAAUCCAUUGUACGAGUUGACUACAAUAGGAAGGUGCCAACACUGUUUUAAAAGAAGCAAUAGCACUAUAUACACCCUCUGAAAAAAUUUCAUUAACCAACAUUUAUUUGGAAACAUGCAGAACUUACGGAACAUUAUCCAUAACAGAUGCUUCAGCUUAAUAUCACAACUUUAACAGGGGGAAGUUCCCAUUGAUAGUG
rnacentral:misc_RNA from 1 species